rnacentral:lncRNA from 1 species
CCGUUGUCGUGGACUGUUGAUAUUUCAACAAGGCGACGCUUGUGCAACAUUUAGUUUUUUUUUUUCAAUUGUAAAUAUUUUCAUUUGUAAAUAUUUUAUUUUAUUUUCUUCUUCAUUUUCCUUUUCUAUUUGUUUUUAUUUUUAGUUAUAUUCCUUUUUUUUUAAUCCAGUGCAAUGCUACUAAGGUAUUUUUCUUUUUGUUUGGAUGUAAGGUCUAGAAAAACAUGCAAGAGCUACUUUAGAAAAGUUUGUAGCUUAUACAAAGGAAUAUGGAGCAGAAACUAUAAUUCAAAAGCUUGCGAGAAAUUAUUCAAAGCCAGAACCUUACAUCAACAUUGAUCAUUCAUGGGAAGAGGAUUC